UACGUAGGUGGCGAGCGUUGUCCGGAUUUACUGGGCGUAAAGGGAGCGUAGGCGGACUUUUAAGUGAGAUGUGAAACACUCGGGCUCAACUUGAGUGCUGCAUUUCAAACUGGAAGUCUAGAGUGCAGGAGAGGAGAAUGGAAUUCCUAGUGUAGCGGUGAAAUGCGUAGAGAUUAGGAAGAACACCAGUGGCGAAGGCGAUUCUCUGGACUGUAACUGACGCUGAGGCUCGAAAGCGUGGGUAUCGAACAGG
rnacentral:rRNA from 1 species